rnacentral:rRNA from 1 species
GAUGAACGCUGGCGGCGUGCCUAAUACAUGCAAGUCGAGCGAACAGACGAGGAGCUUGCUCCUCUGACGUUAGCGGCGGACGGGUGAGUCACACGUGGAUAACCUACCUAUAAGACUGGGAUAACUUCGGGAAACCGGAGCUAAUACCGGAUAAUAUAUUGAACUGCAUGGUUCAAUAGUGAAAUACGGUUUUGCUGUCACUUAUAGAUGGCUCCGCGCCGCAUUAGCUAGUUGGUAAGGUAACGGCUUACCAAGGCAACGAUGCGUAGCCGACCUGAGAGGGUGAUCGGCCACACUGGAACAGAGACACGGUCCAGACUCCUACGGGAGGCAGCAGUAGGGAAUCUUCCGCGAAGGGCGAAAGCCUGACGGAGCAACGCCGCGUGAGUGAUGAAGGUCUUCGGAUCGUAAAACUAUGUUAUUAGGGAAGAACAAAUGUGUAAGUAACUAUGCACGUCUUGACGGUACCUAAUCAGAAAGCCACGGCUAACUACGUG